GGCAGGCCAGUAAGGUAUUAGCUCUGACCCCUGAAUUGGUGCAUUUAAUGCCUAAGAUAGAGCAUCAACACAUAAAAUGAACAAAAUAAGGAGAGAAAGGGCAACGUUGGUGAAGCUCGAUCAUUGAGUGAAAGGACUCAAUCGAGGCAUCAUUGAUCAGAAUGGCAAAGCUUGAAGUCUUCAUGCAGUCCAUGAUCUAAUCAAUCCAUCUAUUUUGAAAGUCGAGCUUCUGAAACAUCUGACACAGGAAGCGCUAGCUCAUCCAAUCAUAAGCUCGCUUCUUA
rnacentral:lncRNA from 1 species